rnacentral:tRNA from 1 species
GCCGGAGUGGCGGAAUGGCAGACGCAGCAGACUCAAAAUCUGCCGUAGGCAACUACGUGCCGGUUCAAGUCCGGCCUUCGGCACCA